AGGCCUCCUCACUCUCUCCCUGGCCUGGGAGUCGGGGUCUCAGAGAAACACCUAGCCAAGGCCAGUGUUUCUGCAGGGGUGGGUCAACUGUACAGGGGGCCUGCAACAGCAAAUCACCAGCUUUCUCUGAAACACACACACCCCUCUGCCUGCCUGUUCCUGAUUUAAUCAUCAGAGUGUGCUGCCCGGGACCAACCUGAGGGGUCGAAUGUCAUCACAGCUCUGACCCGCCCUUGUUAUAGGCAGCACGCCCGUCUUCUUCCAGUGACACCAUUUGCAUCCCAAGAACAGGACUACUCUCUGGACUUCUGCCCUCUUUUGUGCCAUGUGGAGUGCUCCUCAGUAAUACUGGGUGACUCACUUGAGUGACCUUUAUGCCCUUUAAUGUGUCUGAUAUUUCCCUGCUCAGAGUCGCAUUCUGUGACUGGCCAGGCCAGCUCUUGGAAUUGUUAACGAUGACAUUUUUUCCUGUUUCAUCAAUGCACCAAGCGUCUUCUUAUUUCUGGAUGGGUUCCAUUCCUCAUGCUCAAAUCCCUUCUGUGAGGCUUUCACAGGGCUGGAUCAUUUCCAUCCAUUGGUCUUACUUGGUUCUGGUGUUGAACUUUCUCACAGGCACCUUCCAUGACUGCCUGUGUCACUUGAGGGCAGUAAUAGAAAAAUCAACUCAAACUGGCUUAAAUAGGAUGCAAAUCUAGUGGCUCACAUAUGUGGCAGCAGAGGCAGUGAGAGUUUCAGGACCAGGCAGCUUGAUUACAGCAUCAAGGGCCCCUGUGUUCUCUGUUUUCUGCAGCCAUAGUGUUGGCUUCUUCCCAAGACUUAUUUUUCCCAUCAGUGUCACCUGUGCUACAAGCUCCUUCAGUCACAUCUAUUUUUGAUAUUUGUGGGUACCUAGGAGGUGCAUAUAUUUGUGGGAUACAUGAGAUACUCUGACACAGAUGUGCAGUGUGCACGGAUCACAGGGAAAUGGGGCAGCCAUCCAUCCCUUCAAGCAUUCAUGAUUUCUUUGUGUUGUGAACAUUCCCGUUGUGCUCUCUUAGUUAUUCUGAAUGUACAAGAAAUUAUUGCUGACUAUAGUCACCCUGUCGUGCUAUCAAAUACUAGACCUCAUUCGUGGUAUCUAACUAUAUUUUGUACCCAUUAACCAUCCCCAUCUCCCACCCCCUACCUUUCCCACUAUCCAUCCCAGCCUCUGGUAACCAUCCUUCGUCUAUCUCCACGAGUUCAAUUGAAUUAAUUUUUAGCUCCCACAAAUUAUAUAGAAUAUGUGAA
ensembl:lncRNA novel transcript